AUGCACAACCCUGGGGACUGAGAUCCUAUACUCACAAAAUAGAUGUAGAAAGGGCAGACUCAAUGGCAGUGCUCCAUCAAUGCAACUUAAUCAUGACUUGGAGGGGCCUCUUCUAGCAGUAAGAGACUAUUCACUCUCCAUGCCCCUUCAAUCCUUGGCCUCU
rnacentral:sRNA from 1 species